UACGUAGGGUGCGAGCGUUAAUCGGAAUUACUGGGCGUAAAGCGUGCGCAGGCGGUUGUGCAAGACAGAUGUGAAAUCCCCGGGCUUAACCUGGGAAUUGCAUUUGUGACUGCACGGCUAGAGUGUGUCAGAGGGGGGUAGAAUUCCACGUGUAGCAGUGAAAUGCGUAGAUAUGUGGAGGAAUACCAAUGGCGAAGGCAGCCCCCUGGGAUAAUAUUGACGCUCAUGCACGAAAGCGUGGGGAGCAAACAGG
rnacentral:rRNA from 1 species